UGGGGAAUCUUGGACAAUGGGGGCAACCCUGAUCCAGCCAUGCCGCGUGAGUGAUGAAGGCCUUAGGGUCGUAAAGCUCUUUCGCCUGUGAAGAUAAUGACGGUAGCAGGUAAAGAAACCCCGGCUAACUCCGUGCCAGCAGCCGCGGUAAUACGGAGGGGACUAGCGUUGUUCGGAAUUACUGGGCGUAAAGAGUUCGUAGGCGGACUAGCAAGUUAGAGGUGAAAUCCCAGGGCUCAACCUUGGAACUGCCUUUAAAACUGCUAGUCUAGAGACCGGAAGAGGUUAGGGGAAUACCUAGUGUAGAGGUGAAAAUUCGUAGAUAUUAGGUGGAACACCAGUGGCGAAGGCGCCUAACUGGUCCGGUACUGACGCUGAGGAACGAAAGCGUGGGGAGCAAACAGGAUUAGAUACCCUGGUAGUCCACGCCGUAAACGAUGAGUGCUAGUCGUCGGCAGGCAUGCCUGUCGGUGACGCAGCUAACGCAUUAAGCACUCCGCCUGGGGAGUACGGCC
rnacentral:rRNA from 1 species